CCAUUAUAGUUGAUUACCGAUGAAAGAAAUGAAAGAGUAUAUUAGGGUUUAAAUUGAUUUUAUUUGACAGAGAUGAAAGAACUGAAAUCACAGAAGCUCAUCGUUCUCCUGAAAGCUUUUUUUCUUCUCUCUCACGUCGUUACUCUCUCUUGUCUCUCCCUCUCUGCUCUCGUUUCACUCUAUCCGCUCUCUAUCUCUCUGUCUGUUCUCGUCGUUGUUGUAUCAUGAGAAAGAAACGAACCCAAUCCAAAUUGAUUUUUUUAUGUAUGUAGUCGGAUCAGAUGAUUAUGGGUUGGGUCGGGUUUAGAUAAUGGGGAAUCGCAGCUCACAAAACGCGAUUUAAAAAUCUACAAUCACGUUUUUGAAAUUGGAUUAGAAAGGGGGAUUUGAGCAGAACAAAAAAGGAUGGGGAGAGUUGUAAAGAGAUUUUAUAUCUGUGGGUGGUUUGGUCAUGAGCUGAGUAGUAUAG
rnacentral:lncRNA from 1 species